rnacentral:rRNA from 1 species
GAUGAACGCUGGCGGCGUGCCUAAUACAUGCAAGUCGAGCGAACAGACGAGGAGCUUGCUUCUCUGACGUUAGCGGCGGACGGGUGAGUAACACGUGGAUAACCUACCUAUAAGACUGGGAUAACUUCGGGAAACCGGAGCUAAUACCGGAUAAUAUAUUGAACCGCAUGGUUCAAAAGUGAAAGACGGUCUUGCUGUCACUUAUAGAUGGAUCCGCGCUGCAUUAGCUAGUUGGUAAGGUAACGGCUUACCAAGGCAACGAUGCAUAGCCGACCUGAGAGGGUGAUCGGCCGCACGGGAACUGAGACACGGUCCAGACUCCUACGGGAGGCAGCAGUAGGGAAUCUUCCGCAAUGGGCGAAAGCUUGACGGAGCAACGCCGCGUGAGUGAUGAAGGUCUUCGGAUCGUAAAACUCUGUUAUUAGGGAAGAACAAAUGUGUAAGUAACUAUGCACGUCUUGACGGUACCUAAUCAGAAAGCCACGGCUAACUACGUG